UGGGGAAUAUUGGACAAUGGGCGUAAGCCUGAUCCAGCCAUGCCGCGUGUGUGAAGAAGGUCUUCGGAUUGUAAAGCACUUUAAGUUGGGAGGAAGGGCAUUAACCUAAUACGUUAGUGUUUUGACGUUACCGACAGAAUAAGCACCGGCUAACUCUGUGCCAGCAGCCGCGGUAAUACAGAGGGUGCAAGCGUUAAUCGGAAUUACUGGGCGUAAAGCGCGCGUAGGUGGUUUGUUAAGUUGGAUGUGAAAUCCCCGGGCUCAACCUGGGAACUGCAUUCAAAACUGACUGACUAGAGUAUGGUAGAGGGUGGUGGAAUUUCCUGUGUAGCGGUGAAAUGCGUAGAUAUAGGAAGGAACACCAGUGGCGAAGGCGACCACCUGGACUAAUACUGACACUGAGGUGCGAAAGCGUGGGGAGCAAACA
rnacentral:rRNA from 1 species